GGGAACCCGUCUUCAUCGGUUGCAGUGGCAUUUGGUCGGCAAUCUCUUUUGAUUCUUCAGUGUUUCUAAUGAAGUUGCAUUUACUGAAAUGGUACUCAGGAUAUUGGAGCUGGUCUAUACAGUGGUUAGGUACUAAGAGCUGCUGUGUUUUAUGAGGUAUCUCUUUCUUCUUGUCUUUCACAUUAUAUUUCUUGAGCUUUGGUAUGCUUGUCUUGUUUCUCGCGUCGCUGGCAAGAGGACGGAGGUCUUGAUCAUUCUUCAAAAUUGUGCUGUAAGUGAUGAAAAUUCAAAUUUCUAUUUUAAUGAUUUUGCAUAUUUACUGGUUGUAGCAAACCUGAGAAUACUUGCUCUCUUGCUUACGCUAGCAGGUACUCUGUAUAGCUUGUUGCGUGUUUUACGGUCUGUGAGCGAUAAAAAGAGGGGAAGUACAUACGAGAAGAGACUAGAGCGCAGAGAAGAGAGUUCGUAUGAAAUUUUACCUCAUUAUUUAUUAUCUGAUUCGUCAACUAUUUCUAUUAUUUUACUAACUAAUCAAGCAAUAAUUUUUAAUUUAUGCUAUCAUAACUUAGUCGAAUGAUCGAUUUGAAACCUAAAAAUCUACGUCAUGCUAGAUCGAUAUGAACAAAGCAAAGUAAACAAAUUAUGAUUAGAAAUUGAAAUUCGAAUAAAAAUGCAAACAAACUCAAAUACAAUUAUAAAUCCAAGUAUACUGAAGGAAAAAUUCAAUUGAAUUUUUUUUUUUGGCAAUCCCAAAUAAAUGAAACAAACAACUAACUCGAAUGAAAUUAUAACAAAUUAAAACAACAAGUAGACGUUGAAAUUCUAAUAUAAUUACAAACUCAAGUAAACCAAAACAAAAAUAACACUUAGCUCUUCAACUUUCCCAGCAAACAAACUUCUCAAACACAAUAAUGAGAAAUUACAACAAACAGAUUACAACUACCCUUAAAAACAAACUUAAAUACAAGUAAACUAAAACAAAAAUUACAUUUAACUCUUCAACUUUCCCAGCAAACAAACAUCUAAAAUACAAAAACGAUUGACUACAACAAACAAAUUACGACUGCCCUUACAAACUGAUAAGGAAAAAGAGUAAACUCCAAGUAUCUGCCCAUAAGCAAAUAUGUCGGUUCUAACAUUUGCAUGAGUUGAAAUGACCAUAAAUUGAAAAAGUUUAUCAUUAUUUCUCUAUGUGUACAUUAACAUGGCAAUGCUUGAGGCUGUUUUCAAUAUUGUGCAGAGGACAACAAAAUUGUUCUUUUUUUAUGUAUGUUCUUCUUUAUUUUGUCGCUUUUUUUUUCUAAUUUAAAGUUUUGAUAUCCAUUGUUCCAUGCCAAGCGGUGCAUAUGUUACAUUUAAUUGCUAUUGGUUCUCUUAUGAUUUGAAUUACAAGGUAAAAGAGUCUUGACCGUACAUAAAUUGAUAUACUCACUUUUGUUAAUUUGUUGUAGAUUUCAAACGUCAAAAAUCACGUAAAUAAAUACGUAUUCAAUAUUAUUUUUCGUCUUUAACUAGUUAAGAUUUUCUUUCUUUGUCAUUAUGAAGAUCUUUAGGCAAAAAGUUAAAGAGAGUCCAAUUAUAUAUUAUUUCUGUUUUGUUCUCUUUUGUGGGUAACACUGCUGGAGAAAUGUUGGGUUCUGAGAUAAUCGCGCAAUAAAAGGUUUAUUUUCGUUUGUUUGUGACAUAUAUUUUAUUUUUUAUUAUAUUUAUAUUUUUUUCUAUUUAAGGUUAUUUACUUAACAAUAUUCUUUUUGUUUACUUUAAUAGACGACUACUGAAGGUUAUUAUCAAUCUUAUGGAACACUUUUAAGGUAAAUAAGCGUGUAUUUUAUGUUUUUAGGUAGCUAAAAUUUUCAUACUUUGUUAGUGUGUAACUCUUUAGGCAAAAAGUUUAAAAUGGCCCAGGCGUGUCACUUGUGUUUUGUUUUCUUUUGUUGAUAACACUCUUUUAAACGUGGAUUAUGAGGCAUCCGGUGAAUAAAAGGUUUGUCUUCCUUCUUUUAUCAUAUUUUUCUGUUUUAUUUUAUUUUUUUAUUAGCUUAAUUUUUUUUAAAAAAAUUUUGAUGGAGUUGAAGAGAGUUACAAUGCUAACUAUUUGCACAUCAUCUAUCACAUUAAAUUUUAAAAAGUUUCCAGACGAAGCUCAACAAGGAGAUCUACUGCAUGACCAUUUUAGUAGAAAAGAAGAUCUGUGGUUCGAUUUGAUAGCAAAUACUGGUGAUGGCGGGAACUCGUCUUCAUCUGUUGCAGUAGCAUAAUGUCAGCAGUCUCUUUUGAUUCUUCAGUGUUUCCAAUGAGAUUGCAUUUACUGAAAUGGUACUCAGGAUAUUGGAGCUGGUCUAUACAGUGGUUAGAUACUAAGAGCUGCUGUGUUUUGUGAGGUAUCUCUUUCUUCUUGUCUUUCACAUUAUAUUUCUUGAGUUUUGGUAUGCUUGUUUUAUUUCUCGCGUCACUGGCAAGAGGACGGAGGUCCUGACCAUUCUUCAAAAUUGUGCUGUAAGUGAUGAAAAUUCAAAUUUCUAUUUUAAUGAUUUUGCAUAUUUACUGGUUGUAGCAAAUCUGCGAAUACCUGCUC
rnacentral:lncRNA from 1 species